AUUGAACGCUGGCGGCAUGCCUUACACAUGCAAGUCGAACGGCAGCACGGGAUCAAUCCUGGUGGCGAGUGGCGGACGGGUGAGUAAUAUAUCGGAACGUGCCCAGUCGUGGGGGAUAACGUAGCGAAAGCUACGCUAAUACCGCAUACGAUCUAUGGAUGAAAGCGGGGGAUCGCAAGACCUCGCGCGAUUGGAGCGGCCGAUAUCAGAUUAGGUAGUUGGUGAGGUAAAGGCUCACCAAGCCGACGAUCUGUAGCUGGUCUGAGAGGACGACCAGCCACACUGGGACUGAGGCACGGCCCAGAAUCCUACGGGAGGCAGCAGUGGGGAAUUUUGGACAAUGGGCGCAAGCCUGAUCCAGCAAUGCCGCGUGCAGGAUGAAGGCCUUCGGGUUGUAAACUGCUUUUGUACGGAGCGAAAAGGCUUCCACUAAUACUGGGGGCUCAUGACGGUACCGUAAGAAUAAGCACCGGCUAACUACGUGCCAGCCGCCGCAGUAACAC
rnacentral:rRNA from 1 species